AUGCGUGAGCGACGAGAAGCGUUCAGGAGCAAACCAGCAGCAGCCACGAGGCCCGGGAGGGCGCCCCCUCACCCCCAGGCUUGGGGAGCCACCAGGGACCCGGAGGACGCCUGCCCACAGAAGCCUCUGCUCCACCAGAGUCCCAUUCGUCUCCUCUGGCCAUGCCCGGGGCGCCCACUCCCUCUCUCAGCCUGCUGCCCAGCAGCCCCCAGCGCCCUACGGAGGUGGGGGGACCCUGUGCCCUCCGCCGACCGCCAGGGUAUCAUAGCAGCUCUGGGGCCCCAGCAGGUUAGCGGCAGCCCAGCUGUCCUGGGCCCAGCGCCCCCUGACCCCACCCUGUCCUGCCAGCGGGAGAGGGUCUCGCUGGGGGCACGGCGGGCAGAGACAGUCCUGUGGAUGGAGGUGAACUUAACUGUUCAGUCCACCUGGGUACUUGCCUUGGGGGUCCGGAAAGAUGCCCACCAGACACAAAUCCCAUUACCCCCCAGCAGCUGCAGGGGGAGCCCCAGCCUGCGGGGUCCGGGGUGGAGCCCGCCAGGCCCGCAGCCCUAACAGCUGGCUCCCGUGGCUUCUGAGCAACCCUGGCUGCCAGCCCCUCACCGGCCAGAAACAGGAAGUGGGGGGCAGGGAGCUGCCCUCCGGGACUCGGGGUCACUCCCCGAGGAGAUGGAAACGUGGGAGAGCACACGCCCCCUUCUGAGACGACUCUAAAUGGUCCUUUUCUUCUCCACCCGCACUUGGUGUCAGCAGAGGGCAAAUCCAGCCUGUCACACACCCACUCGACGGGGAUGAUGCUGUUUCUCUUUAUGAGCAAACCACUCACGCCUUCCUCCCUUCACACAUCUGUGCCCACACGUCUGGCAGACCAGGACCCCAGAGCAGAGGAUGGCGGUCUUGGCCAGAGCCACAGCAGCCACCUGUGGGCUCAUGAGGCCCUCCCCAGUGCAACCUGGCCCUAGAUCCCGGAGACCCGGGCUGUGCGGGCGUUCUCCCAGGGGGCCGCUCAGUCUGCACGGCAGGCCCAGGGCCAUGAGUGGGGGCCGGGCACCAGCAGCUGUGUCUCGGGAGCAGUGGACUCCCAGCAGCUGGCACUGGGGUGUUAUGACCCUAAACAGGGCCCCUUCCCUCACCCAGUAAGGUGUCGGCAUCUGAACUCAGAGAGCUCGCCCCUGGGUGGGGCAGCAAGGAGGGAGGCUCUGCAGGCCAGAGAAUGGGGAGGGAAGAGAGGAAGGAACAUGGGGGUGCAGGUGGCACCUCCUCUCCAGGCCCCAAGGCCUGUGACCUGCGCCUUCAGCAGAGCCACUCGGAGCCACGGCCACCUAGCAGUCAGCUGCCCCUGCGCCUGGCCUCCAGCUCCUGGUCACAAGGCUCCUGGCAGGUGCUGGACCCAUCCGGAGCCAGGCGGACAGUCCCCUGCCUCCCCGUGGACACCAGGCCCUCCACAGCGUCCCCUGGCCCCAAGGACAGGCCCUGCACUGGGUCUCCACAGCAGCUCCCAGCCUGCGUGGGCACGGCCAGGCCCCGCCCUCAGUCCCUACGAGGAGACAUGAAACCCGGGAGAGCACGGCAUCUGCAACCACACGGCCGACGAGGCCNNNNNNNNNNNNNNNNNNNNNNNNNNNNNNNNNNNNNNNGUGGGGCCCGGCCUUGAACCCCGGUCCGCUGCUCUCACGCCGGGGCGGAACCAGGGAGGCCGCUGGUGGUGGUGAUGAGACAAAGCAUGGGCUUUCCCUCCCACCGCUUUCUGUCACCUUCAAUCAAUGACCUGGUGAUGGAGAGCCAGAAAGACGGCCCCCGAGGGGUGGGGGGGGAGGCGGGGUGUGCCCCGGGGGACCCUGGUCCUCAGCCCACACCGCACCCUGGCCGCCCCACCACCUCCCCAGGCAGCCCCCCAGCGUGGGGCGGAGCAACAGGGGCAUAGGCAGAGCCCCGCGCUCCCGGGAGGGGGGCCCAGCGCCCACACCCAGCUGCCCUCGCAGCUAUCCUCCAGCAGGGCCGAGGCCCUCGCUUGCCCGGCUCGCCUCCACGUCUUGGCAAUGAGACGUUCGAGCUGCCUGGGAACAGUUCUUCACUAGUGGAAGGACCCUGGCUCUGAAGGGGAAAGAACAGAGGACCUUAGGAGCGGUGGUGAGGGCUCCUCCAAGCGAUGGAGCCAGGACACACCUGGGAGGGGCCGGGCAGGGGCUGUGCCCACCACCACCUCGACGCCGGCCACGUGAGAGCGGCCCCCUAGGCUCUGGCGCACUGAUCCCGCCCUGAGGAAUCGCAAGGUCUGGCCGACUUUACAGGUGACAGACCCCAGUAACUACAGCCAGGGUGGGUGACCCCACCAAACCUCAGAUCAGGUUUAGCACGCACCGCCCCCUCCCCCCGCCUGAUCCGGAAGCAAAGAUGGAGGGGGGUCCUGGAGUGGCCGCCCGAGGGCUGCACCCGAGUCACCCGCUGGACACAGCAGGUGCACGCGGAGGGCUGGAGGCCCGGAGGCCCUCACACGGCGGGGCCUCACCCCCAUCUCCACACAAUGGCGAGGGGCUAGAGCGUCCGCUCUAGGGCUGCGGCGCCCACCACUCUGGGAGCCCCAGGGGAGGGAUGNNNNNNNNNNNNNNNNNNNNNNNNNNNNNNNNNNNNNNNNNNNNNNNNNNNNNNNNNNNNNNNNNNNNNNNNNNNNNNNNNNNNNNNNNNNNNNNNNNNCGCUCUAGGGCUGCGGCGCCCACCACUCUGGGAGCCCCAGGGGAGGGAUGCGGCCCUCCUUCCUCCAACAGUGGGCGGGCUUGCUCCUGUGAGGUGAACAGGGCCCCAGGUCCAAGGCCCAGGCGUCUCCCCGGCUCCCGGCGGCGGUCUCGGGGUCCUCCCAAGGGUGCUGCUUCGUGAGCUCGCACUCCAUUUCUGCCCGUCAGGCGCCUGGGCUCGGGGACUGGCGGCCUCUGGGCUCUGUGCUCACAGAGCCGGGGGGCACGAGCGCGAAGCGAGGGAGGGCAGCCGCUGGGAAGAAACGAAGCAGCCCUCCGGGAGCCAGUGCCCAGCUUCUGAUCUCCCUUCCCGCGGUCCCCGUCCCCUCUCCCUCUCCCUGCGGCCGACAGCACUGCGAAACCCCCGCCCGCGGUCCCGNNNNNNNNNNNNNNNNNNNNNNNNNNNNNNNNNNNNCCCCCAUACACCUGACCUGCUCCUGGCCCGACCCCACCCCUUCUCCAAGAGGUCACCUGCCACCACCCGGCGGCCCCAGCCCUCGGACAAGCCUCUGCCCCGCUCUCGCUUCUCGAGCACCCAGAGCAUCACGUGGAGGGCACAAAAGCCGGCCGACGAUCUCCGGCAACCAAGCAGCGGGUUGCCUCUGAGCGUGAAGGCGAGCGGUUGCGGGCUGCUCUCUUGGCUCGUUUCCCGCGUACAGCCCCCCACCCUCCUCCACAAAAAAAUCAAGACGGAGCUGGAGCCGCGGGCGAGGAGGUUGAAACGGGCGCGAGGGUGAGGGGCCGGUGAAGGGGUGAGGGCCAGGUGCGGGCGGCGGACACAGGGGGCCGAGCAGGCUGCGGGACCCUGCGCGCGAGGCACGCUGCCAGCAGGGCGCAGGCCGGCAGGGCCGGCGCGGAGUCGAGGGAAGCUGGGAGGGAGGCCGGCGGGGGGCGGGGAGGCCCCUGAUAGGCGCGCGGGCGGCGUGACGUCACGUCCGGCGGGGGAAGCCCUGCCUCA
rnacentral:lncRNA from 1 species